CGCUUUAUCCCCAGCAGCAAUACUCUACAAAACGAAAUAUUGUCCCUCCAUUUAAACCCCAUUCAACCAGGUUUAAUGUCCUCGACAUUGAGCCACAAUAUGUAAGGAAUAUCGUUUAAAGGCCGCAGGCCAGCUGACAAUGGACAUAAAUCGGAGGGGCCGAGGGGCCAAAGAAACUAAACUGAAACAUUGUUUGCCGUGAGUAUUUUCUAAACAGCAUGUGCCUUAUAUCUUAAAUAAAUAAAUAUAAAAUAAUCUAGACGGACAUAUGUUGGAACUUUGUUUUGUUUUGUCCAUAUUCAAACUCUUCUAGGUGGCGCCCCAACAGCUCAUCGAAAUGCACGCAGCGCGAAUUCGAAUCCACAGCGAGAUUUGAGCGCGGGAAGCUGUUAUGUGCCAGUAUGCUGGGGUAGGCUUGACAACUCAAAAUUUUCUAUUUGUACUUACGAAGCAGCAGUAUUUGACAGAAAAGAAUAAUACUUUGAUGCUCUUCUCACGCCUACAAGCGAGGGCGGCGUGAUUAACAACACAGCGUAAUGCGCAACGGUGAACGCCAACGAACUGCGUGCCGCCACCAACCUGGACGAAGCAUUUUGGACUGAAGCUGUCUUGAUAUCUACAAUACAUUGGACACUACAUGCAGGAUUAUGAAUGGAUACCUGAACACUGCUUGAAGGAGCAAGCUCUACAGCAUCACUUAUGCUCCUUUCCAUGGGUUGGCAAGAGGAACCGUGGCACGCAACUCUACAGGCACCUGUGCUCUUCACUACCUUCGGAGGAGAGAUGCAUUGAAUGCUCCCUAUCAUGCACUGCCAUCUCAACAGUACCAUGGCUUUUUGUGUGGAUUCCUUCCCUUUUGAAGGCCACCACUGUUUGCACAGCAUCACAGCCUGCCUGCCUUGAUCUUGCGGAAGAAGAAAAUACAAAAUGCCUAUUUUUUGAAAUGCAUGCAUGGCUUCAUGCAACACCACCUGUCGUCGGGGUGUUAAGGCUUUUUGCAGAGAAAAUGUAAUGACGCCUUAUGUGUGCCCUGGUGGCAAAGUGUUUGCCUCUUUGCCUGUGUAAAAAUUUCACACUUAUGGAUACUGUUAAAGGUUCCUGUAUCAUAUUUUCUUUCACAUCCUAAGAAAUUUUUGUUUCAUUAUAAAACUAAAAAUUAUAGUUGAAUUGCUGCUUUGUGUGAUAUGCAAUAUUCAGCUGAAGGUGAUCAGCAGAGGUCGAACAAGUGUUAUGUCAGGUGGAGAAAUUUUUUUGAGAAGUGGACUUCUUCGUUAGGGUAACAACCGUUUUCCUUGGCAGUAUUUAUAUAGUUCACUUUUCUCCACUCCAUGGAUAUCCAGCAAAAUGAGUGAGUGCAUAGAGAAGGUGAGGUAAGUUUAAAUGCUCACCAUGGGGGUUUAGUUGGGGUAGCAAGGUGUGUAGAAGUAUGGGAGUUUGGCAGGUUGCUGGCACCAAUUUCUAUGAGUGAUCUUGUUGUUUGUGUCUAUGUCAGUUAUAUAAUGCGAGGCGUCUUCUGACGCCAGAAAUUUUGAAAAAAAAACCUUAUAUUUGUGGAAAUUCAGUAUGUGCCCCUGGGGCUACUACGAGCACUUGGGGCCACUGGGUAGAUGCAGCUCUCCAAUGAACUUUUUUGACACAAACUUCUGUAUGUACGCUGGGUGUGUGCCACUGCAUAUGUGCCACUCUUUAAUGAACCGCUUUGAUGCUGACUUAGGUCAUGGGGCAUCACAACACAAACCUAUGUAGCGACAUCUGUGUAUGCAAGUAAGUGUGAGCUGGAAUUGUCUGCUUGGAUUUUCUUUCCCUGAUGACGACUAGUCCCCUUGUUGAAUUAACUUCAGCCUGAGAUAUCACCUGUUUGUCUACUGUUAUCACAUUAUGCCCAUUUUGCUGUGAACUUGUCAUGUUCUCUAGCUGGCAAGCUUGAAUUUCAGGUGCUGCACGCUAAGGAAAUUGAUUCAGAGUGGGUGGUACCACUUCUGCUUUUUCUUUGCAGCUGUGUGUUACAUGAGAGAAUAAGUUGUACGUAGAUGUCUAUUAGAAAUAGCAUAGGUAUUCAAAGGUACUUUCAUUAUGUUCUAGGUCAUUGGUGCUGUCUGGCCUCCUUUGCAUCAUUUUUUGUAGCAUGCUUUUUACAUGCAAAAACAAAUGUGGCCUGUUCUAAUGCAUGCAAGGACUGCCCAAUAGCUCAUGAUGUUUUGAGCCGCUGAAUUUCAGUCUUGGCUGCACUUGUGGAUUUUCAACUGUACUGAAGCUUGCAAUAUGCUUGAAUUUCCUGUCAAACUGGUUUGCUUGUUUGUAUCGAAUUUAUUGAAUUAUUUCACUUUCAUUAUGCUAAUAGUCAUUGAUUGUACUAUCAUGCUGGCACAUUUGAUUCUGGAACUGCAAUAAAUUUCCAGACAUUUUA